GGAGGUGUGGCCGAGUGGUUGAAGGCACCGGAUUUGAACUCCGGCAACGGGCGACCGUUCGUGGGUUCGAAUCCCACCGCCUCCG
rnacentral:tRNA from 1 species